GGGGGGUGGGAUGGAACUCCUUACCGAACGAUAUUGAAAUGUGCAGUGUCCACACAGAUUGUCUGAUGAAAAAUAAUGAGCAUGAAAACCCUUUCGUUGAAAGGCGGACGGGCUGAUGAGUCGUUAACACAUCGGCCGCUUGAAUUUGCCAGCAAAUUCGCGCCUUUACACGGAAAUAGCAAAUCAGUGAUUUGCUAAGCAAUUUCCGUGUCCCCAUCGUCUAGAGGCCUAGGACACUGCCCUUUCACGGCUGUAACAGGGGUUCGAAUCCCCUUGGGGACGCCAUUCCGAUAAUGAGUGAAAGACAUUAUCACCGAAUAUCUUAAAGAUGACUUUAACGAGUCGGGUUUAAAAUAUUGCUCUUUAACAAUCUGGAACAAGCUGAAAAUUGAAAUGAUGAAUAAUCGAAAGAUUAUUCACGAGUCUCUCAAAAGCGCACAGCCAAUGAUGGAAACAUCUUCGGGUUGUGAGGUUAAGUGACUAACCGUACACGGGGGUGGCCCUUGGAAAUCCCUAAAAAGGAAACAUCUUCGGGUUGAAAGGUUAAGUGACUAAGAGGUUAAGGUGGAUGCCUUGGCAGGGGAAUCCCUGGCAAAUU
rnacentral:misc_RNA from 1 species